rnacentral:rRNA from 1 species
UACGGAGGGUGCAAGCGUUAAUCGGAAUUACUGGGCGUAAAGCGCACGCAGGUGGCUGAGUCAGUCGAUUGUGAAAGCCCUGGGCUUAACCUGGGAAUUGCAGUCGAUACUACUCAGCUAGAGUAUGGGAGAGGGCAGUGGAAUUCCCGGUGCAGCGGUGAAAUGCGUAGAUAUCGGGAGGAACAUCAGUGGCGAAGGCGGCUGCCUGGCCCAAUACUGACACUCAGGUGCGACAGCGUGGGGAGCAAACAGG